AUAGUUACCUGGCAGGGGAGACACCUUGAUCACAACGGAGGGUGAGGCUCGGCCAAUGCACUCUGGCCACGCUGACCCCUGCAAGUUCCCCAAAAUGUGGGAAUCUCGACUGAAUAAUUAUC
ensembl:snRNA U1 U1 spliceosomal RNA